GAACUGGUGGUUCAGUGGUUAAAGCUUUGGGCUACUGAUCAGAAGGUUGAGGGUUCAAAUGCUGUCACUGCCAGUCUU